CCGCGCCCCCGGCGGCGGCCCCCGCCCUAGCGCCCGGUACUUGCCUGCAGGCGAGCGCCACCACAGUCAGCCCGCGGCUUUUCUGUCUUCCUUUCUGGCCCAGCGAGAGCGCCCAGGGGGUGGGCGUCUUGCCCCGGGCGUCGAGAGUUUGGGGCCGUCCCGUACGCGGCGCGCCGCAACCCAGUCCCCGCGACCACAGCAGCCUGCUCCCCACCGCGCUUGCAGAGCCCGGACGCGCGUGAGUCGGGGGCCCGCAGAGGCCUCACCCUUGGAGGUCGCCGCUUGUCAGGCCUGACUGCUGUUGGCGCCCACCCCGCCGCCCCCGAGGGGCCGCUCGAGGCCGGACUGCUGCUUUGCCGUGGCAGGCCCCACCCGGGACGUGGCGCUGCGGGCCGGGGCGGUCCAGCUGCAAUCCCUACUCCCUGCCAAAGGAGAACCCAGUUACUGAACAUCGGAUGAGACCAUGGAUAGUAAAUUGGGAGUGAAGGUCCAUACCUGGGUCUCAGAAGCACAGUACAGGUUUUUAGAACAAGCCACCUUAUACAAGUUAAAAUUCAUGAAGGAAUGGAUACAGGUUAAGGUAAUGGCCCCAAAGAAAUAUCAUUUUACAAAGCAAGGUGUCCUUCACACAAGACCUUAAAAUAAAGAGAACAUUUCUAAAAUUAAGAGUAUUUGAAUAUAUCUUGCUAAUUCUAACAACAGGUUUAUGAAUUAAGGCUUUUACACAUUCUUAAAGCUGUUUCUUUCACCAUGACUUUGGCCAAGAGACUAAAUAGAACCUGGGAACACUAAAAUACCAGUUUAAGAUGUUAACGAAUAAGUGGUAAAUAAUUCUUUUUCAUGCCUAAUUGAGUAACUUUUAGAUACGAUCUAAGCCCAUACAGGUUGAGUAUCCCUUAUCCAAAAUGUUUGGGACCAGAAGUGCUUUGAAUUUCAGAUUUUUUCUGAUUUUGGAAUGUCUACAUAUACAUAAUGAGAUAUCUUUGUGAUGGAACCCAGGUCUAGACAUGAAAUUCAUUUAUGUUUCAUAUAUGCCUUAUACAUGCAGCCUUAAGGCAACUGUAUAUGAUAUUUUCAAUGAUGUGUCAUGAGAUCAGAUGUAACAAUCUUCCACUUGUGUCAUCAGGUUGGAGCUAAAAAAAAGUUUUGGAUUUUGAAGCAUUUUGGAUUUUGCUGUAUUUGAACUAGAAAUAAAACAGUCCUCAUCACCUAAGCAAUAGUUGUUCACUGGGUUUAAAUUUUUUACGCUUUCUCUAUGUCUCCAAAAUAAAUCUGAAUUUAGCUUUUGUAACUAUUUUUGUGAGAUGACUUACCAUUAAUCUUCAAUAUUUCACCUAAAGUUACAGCACAAGUUACUGUUACAGCAGCUUGAGUAACACUAAGUAAUGGUAUAAAGGCUAUGAUAUGGUAUUAUUUAUCUACUAAUUUAGGCAUCAUUUUGCUUCCAGUUACACCAGCCUCCUGAGUAUGACAGCAACAUUCCUUCAGGGAUUAAAGAAAAUGCUUCAGAAGAUUGGAACACUGCUCAGCCUUCCCAACCUUCUUUUACCACUGAUGUUUCUACCUUAGUGAUCUUCCUCCUUAUUUUAAUGCUUCUUUCUCUUUACAAUUAAAAGUUCAUAAAAUCUUUCAACAUUAUUUUUCACUACAAAAGUCUGAAGUUCUCUGUGAAAUGCCUACAUGUAAGAAUUAAGAUAGAUUUUAAAGACUGUCAGUCUCAAAAUUCCAUGCUCAUCAGUUAGUGCAUGAUAUUAAAUUAUGCUUUUUUCCUCCUUUUAAAUAUACCAACAUUAUAUUGCUGAUUUUUUUAUUUACCUGGGUAAGAGCACUGACUCGGUUCUCACUAGGAAACAAAGGUGGGU
rnacentral:lncRNA from 10 species